rnacentral:rRNA from 1 species
UAGGGAAUCUUCCACAAUGGGCGAAAGCCUGAUGGAGCAACGCCGCGUGUGUGAUGAAGGGUUUCGGCUCGUAAAACACUGUUGUAAGAGAAGAAUGACAUUGAGAGUAACUGUUCAAUGUGUGACGGUAUCUUACCAGAAAGGAACGGCUAAAUACGUGCCCAA